UACGUAGGUGGCAAGCGUUGUCCGGAAUUAUUGGGCGUAAAGCGCGCGCAGGCGGUCCUUUAAGUCUGAUGUGAAAGCCCACGGCUCAACCGUGGAGGGUCAUUGGAAACUGGGGGACUUGAGUGCAGAAGAGGAAAGUGGAAUUCCACGUGUAGCGGUGAAAUGCGUAGAGAUGUGGAGGAACACCAGUGGCGAAGGCGACUUUCUGGUCUGUAACUGACGCUGAGGUGCGAAAGCAUGGGGAGCAAACAGG
rnacentral:rRNA from 1 species